rnacentral:rRNA from 1 species
GUGUCAGCCGCCGCGGUAAUACGGGGGGUGCAAGCGUUAUUCGGAUUUACUGGGCGUAAAGCGCGCGCAGGCGGUUUUGUAAGUCAGAUGUGAAAGCCCUGGGCUCAACCCGGGAAGUGCAUCUGAUACUGCAAGACUUGAGUAUGGGAGAGGGAAGUGGAAUUCCUGGUGUAGAGGUGAAAUUCGUAGAUAUCAGGAGGAACAUCGGUGGCGAAGGCGACUUCCUGGACCAAUACUGACGCUGAGGCGCGAAGGCGUGGGGAGCAAACAGGAUUAGAUACCCCUGUAGUCC